rnacentral:rRNA from 1 species
UACAGAGACUGCAAGCGUUAUUCGGAUUCACUGGGCGUAAAGGGCGUGUAGGCGGUGCGGUAUGUUGGACGUGAAAUCCCCGGGCUCAACUCGGGGCGGUCGUUCAAAACUGCCGUGCUAGAGUGUGGGAGAGGGAAGUGGAAUUCCCGGUGUAGCGGUGAAAUGCGUAGAUAUCGGGAAGAACACCUGUGGCGAAGGCGGCUUCCUGGCCCACAACUGACGCUGAGGCGCGAAAGCUAGGGGAGCAAACAGG